UACGUAGGGGGCAAGCGUUGUCCGGAUUUAUUGGGCGUAAAGCGUGCGCAGGCGGUGAUGUAAGACAGGUGUGAAAUCCCCGGGCUUAACCUGGGAACUGCAUUUGUGACUGCAUCGCUGGAGUGCGGCAGAGGGGGAUGGAAUUCCGCGUGUAGCAGUGAAAUGCGUAGAUAUCAGGAGGAACACCCAUAGCGAAGGCAGCUUGCUGGGACGUUACUGACGCUAAGGCGCGAAAGCGUGGGGAGCGAACAGG
rnacentral:rRNA from 1 species